AGCCCACUUGUCCCUUCUCCCUUCCUCGGCUUCGGAUUUUCCCUCUACCUUUGGACGCCAUCGCCGUCGCCGUCGCGGCGGCAAACCCCCAAAAAUGGCGCCUCCUCCCCUAGACGACCUCACGCACCUGCUCGCCGAGGUGGCCUCCCACCUCUCCCGCCCUCCCGGCGGCGCGGGCCCCUCCUCCGCGGCCGGCGACGCGCUCUCCGCCAACGUAUCCUCCCUCGCGGCGGCCCUCAACCCCCGCGCCGCCGCCCCUGCCUCCUCCGGAACCAGGGUCCUCGACGCCGCGCUCUCCCUCAUGUGCUUCGACCCACAGGAGGUGGAUAGGGCUCGCCUGGACUGCCUCGUCCGCACCGCCGUCUCCGCGCUCUCCGGCCCGGCCACGUGCCGAGUGGCCCGGACCGACGACCGCGCCGAGAUGCUCUGCGUCGGGAGCUCCGUCUCGCCCCGGGACUGCCGCGAGCUGGUCCGCUCCUGCGCCGCCCUCGUCGAGAAAUUGGGUGGCCGUGAUGUUACGGGGCAUUCCUAUGAUCUGUUGCAUGCUGCUGUGAAAACGGCGCUGUUAUCCCCUCGUUACCAGUGUCUCUUUCCUUCGCCAUAUUACAGAGAAGAUGGAGAAAGCAGUUGCGAGAUGGGUACCAUUUCUCUGGAUGUAACAACUCAUCCAUCUUAUCAAGUGCUUCCCAGUGAUGGCUCAAUCCCGCCGAGGGCCCUUUUGUGGCAUUACGACCCAUCAAUUCUGAAACAUGAUCUUUCAGAGAUGCUACGAGAAGCAAUCACAAGGCCUUUGCUUUGUCUGAGAAAAGAAUUACAUGAUCGGGUAGCAUGGCGUGUGAUUGUAAUAUGCUUAGUUUGCUCCCCACCAGCGUUCUUGGAGAUGCGGUCAUUAUUCCAUAUAUGGUUUCUUGCGACGGGUAUGGGUUCUGUGCUAGGACUUUGCACAGCAGUGGUAUCAUCAGUAAUAGAUCUUCUUCUCGAGCCUAUGGGAUGGGGAAUAUCCAUGGAACUGGGACAGAAAUUUCCCUUUACACAUGCUUAUUUCCCAAGCCAACAAAGGGAUUUGCUUGCCAUACUAACUGGACCCAUAUCAUGCAGACGAUUUUUGGAUCUUGUUUCUUACAUAGAAGCUAUGGUUUUCUUGGGUAAAACAAGCAGCGACAACUCUUCAUGGAAAAACAUACAAUCACAACCACCAAAAGGGCCACACUUUGGCAAGAAACAACCAUCAAAAGGAUUGGUCAAAUUCAAAUACAGUUCUGCUUGGUUGACAAUUACGAACUUCCCUAUCUGGUUCAAUUUUGCCACUGCUCUACUAUUUCACCAGGAAGGUUCACAAGGUUAUUUAUCAGAAGUAUUAUCUGAGGAGAAAACUGCUGAAUCAAUAAGCGAUAUCAGUGUUGCUCAGAGGGCAGCAUUUUACCUUUCGUGGGUAUUAUGCCCUUCUAAUGUUGAUGAAUGCCAGUUGCUAGCUAAAAAUAUGGUCGAGUUAUCACAUUCUUGGGCCAGGAACAACAAAAGACGCCCAAGUUAUGCACACCAUGCCAGUACAGUAAAUCACAGGAGGAAACUGCGAGUACCCACAGUUGGGGAUAAUGUGUCAACCAACCCUGUCAGUUCCCUUAUCAAAGAUUUUGAUGAUCGCUGUGUGAAGUUGUGUCGCAUAAGUGCUGUCAGUCCGGUGCAAGGUGCAGAACAAUUAGAUAUCCCUCUCUCAUGCCCUAAUUUUCUGCAUUUACGGGUUCCUUUAGGGAUGUUGCUUGUGUCCUCUGCUUGUAUUAGUGAGCAAGACUGUAACGUGCUUCUGCACUACGCAAGCACUGGUCUGGUUAUGGAGUCAAAGGAAGGGCAGACAAAAAGGAAAGAUCAGGCUGGCAAUGAUGUUUUUUCAUCUAGUCGUGGAGGUUCUACUGAAAGACGGGCUUUAAGUGGUGCAUGUCUCAUCUUUGGCUGGCUUGACAUUAUUGAGGAUAUGUCUGCAGUGAUCUUUGAAUGUGAAGAUACAUGUCGUCAUUUUGUCAGUCAACUCAGAACCAAGACAGGCCCAUACGUGCUGAAGUGUGUAAAUUUAUUGCUGAAUGAGGCGGGUCAUGAUAAAGAUUUUGUAAUCGAUCUUCGCAACAGAUUGUUAAACUGGACUAAUAAAGGGCAGCGUUUUGAUGGUUGUGAGGCAUUCAAAGACGUUAUCGUUCAAAUGAACGCAAAAAUUCAGCCCUCUUCAUAGCAGUGAUCAGGGAUUUUAUGUAACUGUGAUUGGUCCGGAUGGGUUCCUGGUCUCCUUUUGGUUACUGUACUGCUGGACGUGAACUGUGGAGUUAGAACAUAUCCAUUCAGCUCUUGAUUGCAGACCACCAAGAAGGAAAAAGUCCAAUAAAUAAAUAAAUUAAGGAAACUUCAUAUAUUAUAUCAGACGCAAAAAAUGGAAUCACAGUUUGAUUUGGUUUGUUAGUGCUAUUUGUGCCAUACAGCAGUUCCAGGUAAUUUAUUUCUGAAUUUAGUUUUCUUGAGUUAAUGUUUCCUCUUGAUUAUAUAUUUCAACUUUGUUACUCAGCAAUUGGAUAUGGUCAACUAAGAUAUUGAUAUGUUUGCACAGCCUAUUUAGUAGAGCUUGUGACCACACCGAAGAACCUUUUUUAUGUAUGCUUCUCUUGUUACGUAAGUACAGUAGAAAAACUUAUGAAUGACAAUACUUACCUCUCGAUCCUAUUAUUAAGGUAUCUGGAUAUGAUGGACAAAGAUAUAAUAAUAUGUUUAUUUUGUAGGGCAUAGUUUUUCUGUAAUACUUUUAUACUUAUAUGUAUGCAGAGAGAAUACAACAUUUCAAAAGUUUGCAUCCUCCUCUACUUUACAAUUCUUGGAAAGUACAGUCCAUUAACUUUGGAUUUAAGAUCUAACUGCUCUUUUUAUCUAAAUGUCACACAACUGGGGUUAUUAUGUAGCUCGUACUUGCAUGCUUUGAAAGCCCUAGCCGAUCUGCUUUUUUGAGUUAGGCGAUCUUUUAUUGUUAGUCAACAUUCGGAUACAUAUCAAUUUUUAGAAUAGUAGCUAUUCUGACCAAGUUGCACAUAUUAUGUGGCCGAAAUGCCAUUCAGCAAUACAUCAAAAUCACAAUUAUAGUAGCUGCUUGAUUUUGCUUGUUAAGGAAAAAUGCAUGUGCAACCGCAGUGCCAAAUAUGUUUGUGGAGCAGUGCCUGGCUGCACAAGUUGCACAUUAAUGUACGCAGCGACCGGUGCCACUUGUAACCGUUCAUAUCUGGGCAGCUGCUGCAUCACAUCGAUCGUGUCCGAAAGACUAGGAACCAUUAACUGUACUCUGUAUAUCCCAUGGUUAAGGUUCACCCCGUAUUAAUCAGUGACGUCGACACAUGGAUGACGGCCAUUCAAGCAUGCACUUACUUUGGGCAGUCUUAAGAAAAAGACACCCACAUCUUGAACAUAUGUUUAUAUUGCAAAACAAUUUCUCAAACCCAAUGAAACUCUUCUUUUUUAUUUUUAUGGAUUGACUGGUCGAAAACAAACAUUAUUUUUUGCUUGUUUGUUCGAAGCAUUUUUGAAAAGUUGUUGUCAAAGUUUUAAUUUCUUUUACCAAAAGUACUUCUAAAAUUCCAUGCUUGGUGUGUAGCCGAUCUAAUAAAUUCUACUCCAAGUUCAUCUUGUUUUUAGUCAGUUAGUGUGGCACAGCCUUGCAGGUAGGUAAUUAGGGCAUCAUUAGUACACAAUAGCACCACUGAAGACGCCCUGGAGCCUACCUGCAUAGCGAUGCAACAAGCUGGACGGGUGGCAAUUAAACAAGGGAACCACUCCCUCCGUUCGGAAUU